rnacentral:snoRNA from 1 species
UCGUCUUCUGCCAUUGCUCGGUCAAGCCUCUUCGAUGGAGCGACCUUGAGCCGGAUGCCCGACGCCUCGGCGUACAGGUAUGAGACGAGAACAACUCUAGACAACGUUUUUUGAGUACGAAGCCUUUCGUGAUGCUUCACUAAGUGGAGGUCUUCGUAAUUUAUAUGUUGUUACAUUU